GACGAACGCUGGCGGCGCGCUUAACACAUGCAAGUCGAGCGAGAACCAGGGCUUCGGCCCUGGGGACAGCGGCGAACGGGUGAGUAACACGUGGGUAAUCUGCCCUCGGCACCGGAAUAGCCCGGGGAAACCCGGAUUAAUGCCGGAUGGCCCCUUCACCUCGCGAGGUGUCGGGAAAAGGUAGCUUCGGCCUCUGGCCGAGGAUGAGCCCGCGGCGGAUUGGCUUGUUGGCGGGGUAACGGCCCACCAAGGCGACGAUCCGUAGCUGGUCUGAGAGGACGAUCAGCCACACUGGGACUGAGACACGGCCCAGACUCCUACGGGAGGCAGCAGUGGGGAAUCUUGCGCAAUGGGCGAAAGCCUGACGCAGCGACACCGCGUGAGGGAAGAAGGCCUUCGGGUUGUAAACCUCUUUCAGGAGGGACGAAGCUACUCGGGUGAAUAGCCCAGAGGGUGACGGUACCUCCAGAAGAAGCCCCGGCUAACUACGUGCCAGCAGCCGCAGUAA
rnacentral:rRNA from 1 species